UACGUAGGGGGCAAGCGUUAUCCGGAUUUAUUGGGUUUAAAGGGAGCGUAGGUGGAUUGUUAAGUCAGUUGUGAAAGUUUGCGGCUCAACCGUAAAAUUGCAGUUGAAACUGGAAGACUUGAGUGUGUUUGAGGUAGGCGGAAUGCGUGGUGUAGCGGUGAAAUGCAUAGAUAUCACGCAGAACUCCGAUUGCGAAGGCAGCUUACUAAGCCAUAACUGACACUGAAGCACGAAAGCGUGGGGAUCAAACAGG
rnacentral:rRNA from 1 species